rnacentral:misc_RNA from 1 species
GAUGAGAACGUAGCGAAAUGCGAUAAGUAGUGUGAAUUGCAGAAUUCAGUGAAUCAUCGAAUCUUUGAACGCACAUUGCGCCCCAUGGUAUUCCGUGGGGCAUGCCUGUUCGAGCGUCAUUUACCCCCUCAAGCUCCGCUUGGUGUUGGGCGUCUGUCCCGCUUCGCGCGCGGACUCGCCCCAAAGGUAUUGGCAGCGGUCGUGCCAGCUUCUCGCGCAGCACAUUGCGCUUCUCGAGGCACCGGUGGGCCCGCGUCCAUCAAGCUCACCCCCCCAGUUUGACCUCGGAUCAGGUAGGGAUACCCGCUGAACUUAAGCAUAUCAAUAAGCGGAGGA